GCUAUGGCGGUGUGGUCGCUCCCUGCCCUCCGCAGCCCUCGGGCCGCCACGGGCUGGUGCUCCCUUCCAUGGGGCAGCGACCACUGGGAAUAAAGAACAAAGCCCUCUGCCUCCGGCGUCGGUAUUGCUUGUGCGCCUCCAACCUGUGCCUAGAGUCUGUUCCAGCGCUUGGGUCGGUGUUGGAAAACAACGAGCUGGUAAUUUGCGGCAGAGAUUUUUGAGAAAUGAAUGUUGCUUCCUUUACAUUGUCUUCGAGCAGAAACCAGCAUGUACUCUCUGCUCGCUCUUUGCAGAGGCAGGCUGGACUCCAGAAUCACCUAGAUGACAUUACUACACUUGGAAGAUUUGCUGGAGGUCAUGAGGGGUAUGUGCAAGCAUCAGUUAGACUAGGCUGGAAGAAAAUGUCCAAAUGUCUCUACAAAGGAACAGGCACACCUUCUUUGAAGGAACACUCCAUGGACUCAGGAUUUCCUUCCUCCCUUAAAAGGACUCAAGAUUCCCUUCCUCCCUCUCCUGUCCUGAGAAAUUAAUGUUUACUGUGAGCUGUUUUUCUGGGGGCCAAAGAUCUCCCUGCUUCUACUGCCUCCCUGAGCAUCAAGGUCCAGAUAUUCUCCAACCACUGGUAGAACAGAUUCAACAAAAAUAUCCAGAAUCAUAAAAUCACAGAAUAUGCUGAAUUGAAAGGUACAUAUUGGAAUCAAUGAGUUCAACUCCUGGCCCUACACAGGACACUCCAAGAAUCACAUCAUGACUGAAAGCACUGUCCAAAUGCUCCUUGAAUUCUGUCAGGCUUGGUUGUGUGGCCACCUCCCUGGGGAGCCUGUUCCAGGGCCCAGCCAGCCUCUGGGUGAAAAACCUAUUCCUGAUAUUCAACCUUCCAUGAAUCAGUUCCAUGCCAUUUCUUUGAGUCCUGCCACUGGUUGUACAGCAGAAACUAAUUUAAAAGAAACCUUGAUAAUAAAGCAGUCAGAGGAGAAUUGGCAUGGAGAAAUAUGGAAAAGAAAAGUAAGGAGAAAUUAAACAGUAAUAUGGUGGUGUUGGUUGAAUAUCUGAGGACAGACUGUGGAAGAACAUGUUACAACUUCUGAAGUAAAAGUUUUGGCAAUAAGGUAUAAUAGAAAGUUGGAUAGUUCUGUAAAAUACCUGGCACAGAAAACUAGGAAGAUGCAAAAUAAUAAAUAGAGGAGGAGAAGCGGUGCAGUUUCGCGAGAAUAAGAUACUGUGAAGAACGUUGAGAUUCUGCAUAAAGCUGGAGGAAAAGGAAGAAAAACACACAUAAAUAUUGCAGUAUCAUUCUUUCAAGACAUGAGUUAUUCUAGCAAAAAUAUAUUACUUCAGAAUAUUUUAUUAAAAAAAAUUAAUUAAAAAAAUUCUUGUAAGUAUUUAGAGCCAAGGUGCCAAAUAUUAAAAACAUAUAGCAAACCUUGAAAUGCUAACAGUUUUUUUUUAUUGUUUUGCCUCUUUUUAAAAGAAUAAAUAUUUAAGCAAAAUAGGUUUGUCAAAAUACAGUUGAUUUUCUUUUUUGACUUUGUUGGAAUUAAAGACUGGAUAUAAGCCUAAAGAUAUGACUUUGUGGUCACUUUAUUUA